rnacentral:rRNA from 1 species
AGCAGUCGCCGCGGUAAAACGGAGGGCGCGAGCGUUACCCGGAUUUACUGGGCGUAAAGGGCGUGUAGGCGGCCUGGGGCGUCCCAUGUGAAAGGCCACGGCUCAACCGUGGAGGAGCGUGGGAUACGCUCAGGCUAGAGGGUGGGAGAGGGUGGUGGAAUUCCCGGAGUAGCGGUGAAAUGCGCAGAUACCGGGAGGAACGCCGAUGGCGAAGGCAGCCACCUGGUCCACUUCUGACGCUGAGGCGCGAAAGCGUGGGGAGCAAACCGGAUUAGAGACCCGCGUAGUCCCUGUCUCUUAUAC